UGCAGUCGAACGGGCUCUUCGGAGCUAGUGGCAGACGGGUGAGUAACGCGUGGGAACCUACCUAUAAGUACGGAACAACACAGAGAAAUUUGUGCUAAUACCGUAUGUGCUCUUUGGAGUAAAGAUUUAUCGCUUAUAGAUGGGCCCGCGUUAGAUUAGCUAGUUGGUGAGGUAAUGGCUCACCAAGGCGACGAUCUAUAGCUGGUCUGAGAGGAUGAUCAGCCACACUGGGACUGAGACACGGCCCAGACUCCUACGGGAGGCAGCAGUGAGGAAUAUUGGACAAUGGGGGCAACCCUGAUCCAGCCAUGCCGCGUGAGUGAUGACGGCCUUAGGGUUGUAAAGCUCUUUCGCUAGGGAAGAUAAUGACGGUACCUAGUAAAGAAGCCCCGGCUAACUUCGUGCCAGCAGCCGCGGUAAUACGAAGGGGGCUAGCGUUGUUCGGAAUCACUGGGCGUAAAGCGCGCGUAGGCGGACUUUUAAGUCAGGGGUGAAAUCCCGGGGCUCAACCUCGGAACUGCCUUUGAUACUGGAAGUCUUGAGUUCGAGAGAGGUGAGUGGAAUACCGAGUGUAGAGGUGAAAUUCGUAGAUAUUCGGUGGAACACCAGUGGCGAAGGCGGCUCACUG
rnacentral:rRNA from 1 species